rnacentral:misc_RNA from 1 species
CAACCCUCGAACCCCUCCGGGGGGUCGGCGUUGGGGAUCGGCCCUCCCUUAGCGGGUGGCCGUCCCCGAAAUACAGUGGCGGUCUCGCCGCAGCCUCUCCUGCGCAGUAGUUUGCACACUCGCAUCGGGAGCGCGGCGCGUCCACAGCCGUUAAACACCCAACUUCUGAAA